CCUACGGGAGGCAGCAGCUAAGAAUCUUCCGCAAUGGGCGAAAGCCUGACGGAGCGACGCCGCGUGAACGAAGAAGGCCGUGAGGUUGUAAAGUUCUUUUCGGGAGGGGGAAUGACCGUGGCAGGGAAUGGCCGCGGGAUGACGUGAAUCCCGGAAUAAGCCCCGGCUAACUACGUGCCAGCAGCCGCGGUAACACGUAGGGGGCGAGCGUUGUUCGGAAUCAUUGGGCGUAAAGGGCGUGCAGGCGGCASUGCAAGUCCGGCGUGAAAGACCCCGGCCCAACCGGGGGGGUGCGCUGGAAACUGCGGUGCUUGAGUACAGGAGGGGAUGCCGGAAUUCCAGGUGUAGGGGUGAAAUCUGUAGAUWUCUGGAAGAACACCGAUGGCGAAGGCAGGCAUCUGGCCAUGUACUGACGCUGAGACGCGAAGGUGCGGGGAGCAAACAGGUUUAGAUACCCUGGUAGUCCGCACAGUAAACGAUGUGCACCAGGUGGCGGGGGUAGAACCCUCGGUACCGUAGCAAACGCAUUAAGUGCACCGCCKGGGAGUAKCUCSUCAAAGAKA
rnacentral:rRNA from 1 species